rnacentral:tRNA from 1 species
GCCCUUGUAGCUCAGCCGGUAGAGCAGCGGUUUUGUAAACCGAAGGUCGCGGGUUCGAUUCCUGCCGAGGGCACCA